GCAUAUCAAUAAGCGGAGGAAAAGAAACCAACCGGGAUUACCUCAGUAACGGCGAGUGAAGCGGUAACAGCUCAAAUUUGAAAUCUGGCUCUUCCGGAGUCCGAGUUGUAAUUUGUAGAAGAUGCUUUGGGUUGUGGGUUCGGCCUAAGUUCCUUGGAACAGGACGUCAUAGAGGGUGAGAAUCCCGUAUGUGGCCGAGGCCCGCGCCUAUGUAAAGCUCUUUCAACGAGUCGAGUUGUUUGGGAAUGCAGCUCAAAAUGGGUGGUAAAUUUCAUCUAAAGCUAAAUAUGGGCCAGAGACCGAUAGCGCACAAGUAGAGUGAUCGAAAGAUGAAAAGCACUUUGGAAAGAGAGUUAAACAGUACGUGAAAUUGUUGAAAGGGAAGCGCUUGCAACCAGACUUGGGCGCUGUCGAUCACCCCGAGUUCUCUCGAGUGCACUCGACAGCGCACAGGCCAGCAUCGGUUCGGGUGGCUGGAUAAAGGCCGUAGGAACGUGGCUCCCUUCGGGGAGUGUUAUAGCCUACGGUGCCAUGCAGCCCAGCCGGACCGAGGACCGCGCCUUCGGGCUAGGAUGCUGGCGUAAUGGUGGUAAGCGACCCGUCUUGAAACACGGACCAAGGAGUCUAACAUCUAUGCGAGUGUUUGGGUGGUAAACCCAUACGCGGAAUGAAAGUGAACGUAGGUGAGAACCCCUUUGGGGCGCAUCAUCGACCGAUCCUGAUGUCUU
rnacentral:rRNA from 1 species